UACGUAGGUGGCAAGCGUUGUCCGGAUUUACUGGGCGUAAAGGGAGCGUAGGCGGACUCUUAGGUGGGAUGUGAAAUACUCGGGCUCAACCUGAGUGCUGCAUUCCAAACUGGGAGUCUAGAGUGCAGGAGGGGAAAGUGGAAUUCCUAGUGUAGCGGUGAAAUGCGUAGAGAUUAGGAAGAACACCAGUGGCGAAGGCGACUUUCUGGACUGUAACUGACGCUGAGGCUCGAAAGCGUGGGGAGCAAACAGGAUUAGAUACCCUGGUA
rnacentral:rRNA from 1 species